rnacentral:lncRNA from 1 species
AGAGCCCCCUCUCGGCUGCUGGCCCGGGCUCGCCCGCGCCGCUGGGGGCUCUGACUCCUGCCGAGCCGGGCCUGGGCAGCGCCCCCCGCGCCCCGCGAGCCCGCGCCCCCGUCACCGGGAAACGCCGUAGCCGGCGAUCCGCGGUCGCCCUGGGCUCGGCGCCGGCCCAGCCAGGACCCCGGGAGCGCACGGGACGGGCCUCGCCAGUCACACUCCAGCGCCCCCACGAGCCAGCACAGUGCCUGCUCUCAGUGAAAGGCCACUGUUCUCCUUGGGUGACCCCCAUGAUGCCUGACCGCUCCUCGUGCCUCCUGGAACAGCCAGGGUCCUUAUGAAGUGGUGACCACUCCAGUCAGCAGGGGUGGAAAAUGGUACCAGUCAAACCCGAGGCGGAGGAGGAGCAGCCCGCAGUCGCUGCCGCGAGAUGGAGGAGCCCACGCCCGAGCCCGUCUAUGUCGACGUAGACAAAGGGCUGACCUUGGCCUGCUUCGUCUUCCUCUGCCUCUUCCUUGUCGUGAUGAUCAUCCGCUGUGCCAAGGUCAUCAUGGACCCUUACAGCGCCAUCCCCACAUCCACCUGGGAGGAGCAGCACCUGGACGACUGAGGCACAGCGGCUGUGGGGACUGGACCUGGCGCUCUGUGGGUGGCUGUGCCCCAGGAUGCAUCCGUGUGUUCCCUGCCAGCCUGCCAUCCCACAGAGGCAAGGAAUGAAUCUGGCCACCCAGGGAAACAGAAGGUGCAGCUUAGCCCUCUCAGCCCUCCCUCGAGCACCAGCGUGGAAUGCCCGGGUGCCGUGGGUGUCGCAACCAUGGACCAGCCAGGGGAAAAGAGCCCUGGACCAGGACCCAGGAGGCUGGGGUUCCAGUGUGGGGAGUCCCUGUGAGAUGAUAGGGUAGUCACCUUCCCAGGUUCCUGGGCACCUUUUGGAACUGGAUCCAGCAACAGACACCCCCCAUCCAUCACAUAACAGUGGUCUUGUCUUGAGGAGACUCUCGGUCCUUUAAAUGCAAAGUAGCAAUGGAGGCUCCCAACCAAGAGGUCCCACCUGAACCCCAGCCCCCUCCCCAUGGACUAGCAGUGGUGUGGCAGUGAGGGGGGAAAGCGGGUUGAGGGAGUCUCACCUGAAAAUUCACAAAACGCACAGGAUAUGGGCUGCUUCCAAGCAGUAUUUUUUUAAACUAAAAUAUAGAGGGAUAUAUUUUUCCUGUUAUAAAUAAAAUGUACAUUUUAGAAACUUGGGAAAAUGCAGAUAAAUAGAAAGAAAGGGGGAGGAAAUAACACUUAUAAUCCCACCUCCCGGAAACCACCAUUUUGAUAUAUUUUCUUCCAGCCUUUUUACUUGUAUUUUUUAGUCAAAUUCAUACUCUGUGCAUGAUGUUGUAUCGCCUCAUAUGAUAGCAGGAAUACUUCCCCAUUACAUCAAACACUCUUCUUAGCUGCCAGUUUUAGUGACCGAAGGGCAUCCCAUCGGUUGGGUAGGUCAUGGUUAAAAAAUCAUCUCCUUUGGUUGCAUAUUUAAUUAUUUUCCACUAUUUUUUCCUCACACAAAAUGAUUUCGCCCGGUACCCUUUUUGGGGGUGCACAGUCCAUGAGAUGAAUAUUGAAUGGGGAGACCUGGGUUCUAGUCUCGCAUUUACCAGUCAGGUUACAAUGCGACCUUGAGCAAGUCACUUCACCUCCCAGCGCCUCAGUUUCCUCAUUGUAAGAUAGGAAAAGCCUUGUCAUUUUUAAAAUUUUAUUUUUUGCAUAUACCUCAUGUGAACGAAAGGACAGAAAGGGGAGUGAAUAUACUAUGAAUGUGCUAUAGUCGGAGUUGGGGGGCAAGGAAGAAGUCAUCGAUGAUGGCUCUUCUCAGGCCCUCCCUCCUCCCACCUCUUUCUGCCCUCCACCCCACUCCCACUCCAUCACCUACAUCUAUGACCUUGCAGCAAAAUCAUUAGAGCAGAGCCUACAAAACCGGCCCCAAGUCCCAAUUCCUCUACUUCCUUGUUAGAGGACCCCAAAUAACUCACUCAGCCUCUCUGAGCCCCAAUUUCCUCACCUGUAAAGUGAGGGAAUAACAUCUACCUCGCAAGGUUGUUGUGAGGACGAAAUGAGAGAACAUGGGCAAACAUGAAUGUUCUUGAAUUCACCACCCCAGGAGAAGCCAGGGGUCUGAGCUGGGAGGAGCAGAGGUUCUGGGUGCCCCCUGCCCCUACAGAGCCUGGCACCUUCAGCUUUUCUCAACUUCUGAGGGCUGCUUCCUACAGGCCAAAUCUCCCAGCCGGAACCACUUGGUCAGAGGAACACUCACAGCAGCCUUUCCCAGCACCUGACCUCAAGGGAUAUGGCGUCUACCAAUUUACAUAAUUGCCUUUGUCAUCAGUUUUCCCAUAACAUGGUACGAAGUUAAAUGAGAGCACCUGAGCUCCCCUUCCUCUGAGUGCAUUUAUUCCAUCCCUCCAAGCUGUGGCCUUCCAUCCCCAUCCAAGAGACCUGCAGCUGUGAAGAAGCUCAAGACUUCUUUCUCAUUGCCUGCCUCCCAGCCAUUAGUCCCCACCACAGCCCAGGCCACCUGGAAAAUGGGUUCCAAAGCACUAUCACUACUAGGUGACCCCUGAAUGUGGACAAGGCCACAGCUCUUCAGGCAGCAUUUCAGGGGCUAUCCAGUUGUCAUCCCUCUCAUACCCCUCUCCUACCCACCCCUAUCCCCACUAUUGUGGAAUGCACGAAGGGACAGCUGGCAAAGGCAGUGAACCAAGAUGCAGGGAAGGCCCUGUAUGAUGGGGAGGAUCUAAAGCAAAAGCCUUUUGUGCAUUGCCUCAGGUUCAGCAGCAGCAGCCCUCACUCUGAAGCCUACCUUGAGAAGCCAGGCAUUUCUGUGAAAAGCUCAUCAGCAUGCAUUUACAAUGCAAACUAGAACCAACUCCCAGUCAGCUAAUAACAGACCCCAGGAAAAAGAAAAGGUCUUCCAGACCUCCCCGACACACUUUAGAACCCUCAGGGGUGAAAAAGAGGGUGCUCCAGGGCAGUGCAACUUAAACUGUGGUUGAAGGACAAACAGCCUCUGCAAUACUUGAGGAGCUUGUUAGAAACCCAAACUCACAGCCCCCUCCAGACCUACGUACAGAAUGUAUAUUAGCAAGAUUCGCUAGGUGGUUUAUGUGCACGUUAAAGUUUAAGAAGCACUGCCUGAGAAUCCCUUGGUCCUAAUUAAUUCUUUUCCACACUCAGAUUUGCUAAUGGGUUUCACCUUAUCUCUUGACUCUUGUUUGAUGGCAACAGGAAAUAGUAGCAUUUCAGGAAGGGUGGAAAAUAUAAAAAGCACUCCCAACCCAAGCCUCCAAAAAACAGCAAUUUUCAUUUUGUGUCCAUAUAUUCCCUUCUAAUCAUUGUCCUCAUGCAAGAUUUUUUUUCAUAAAGAUGAUCUGCUACAUAAUUUUAUAUCAUACUCUUUCUCCUAACAUUACAUCACAAGUAUACUUUCAUGUUGCUGCUACAUUCUUCACACUUGUCAUUUUAAUGGCCAUAAAACAUGACAUCUAGUGCACAUAUAUAAUUAUGUAGACUCCUAUUAUUAAAUAUUUGGAUUUCUUCCAUUUUCCCUGUUGUACAUGUUCCAAGCAAAAAAAGAAAGAUCAAGAUAGAUAUGAUGAAGCCGGGGAGCUUGCUUAAGACAGGGGAGAAUAAAUACUUACAGUACACUCUCUCCAUUUAAGAGACACAUGGAGCACAUGGGGGAGGGAGACCUGUCUAAGAACUGGAUCAUAUUAAGGAGAAAAAAGCAACUGGAAUCUCAGGCUUCAGUUGUUGCAUUAUGCUGCUGAAGCAUAGAGGAGAUGGUCCUUUGUGAUCAGAGCGUCUCAACUCGUUUCUGGCAAGCUAAGAUGAACUUUGGGGUUGUGGAUAGAAAGAUAAACUGAUCUGCAAAAGAAAUGCACAGAAGUAUUGAAGGCUAGAAGUUGGCAGACAAGAAAUGAAAAGCAUUUAGAGAAUGGGAGGCCUGUGAAGGUAGCCACAACCCAGGACUUAAGGAGAACACAGGCUGGAGAGGAACUCUCCAAAGCAGAGAAUGGGUGGUGGGUUUUCCAGGCAAUGGUGCCUAGUGGCCAGUUUUAAGUUGUUGCUUGUACUGUGCUCAGCUACACUCCCUUCAUGUUGCCCCAAGCCCUCUCUAAAGUCUGAUAAAUGAUCCACCACUCUGCAGCAGUGGUCUUUGGGACAAUGAAGACACCUCGGUGGUGGGUCACUUAGGGAAAUACAAUCUGGAAGGGGCCAACAGUCCCAGAGACAAGUGGGGUAGCAGAAAUAUGCAGAACCAAGAGUUCAGAGUGAUGGUCACUAGAAGAAAUGUGGCCUCUAAGGAUGCUCAGACAGGUGGAUAUGUAUAGUAGGACCCUAGCUUUACCAUCCUGGCAUAUCAUUCCCAUCAUAGCUAUUUCAUUUUUUUCCAAUUAGUUGCUGAAAUGUCUACAUGUUCUUAUCGAGUUGAAAGAUCAGUGUCUCCCUGUCUCAUUAAAUUUCCAGAACUUCAGAGGCUAAAUCAAUCCAAAAGGGGCUGGCCCUGCUUUCAAACACCAAGUGAAGAGAACUACAAAGUUUGGUGUGUCCACUAGUGUGGUUUCAUACCCCCUAGGUCUUGCUGUUGAGGACUGGUUCUGCCAGGCAUGAUCAAUGACCACCCACAAUGUCCUGUGGCCCAGCCUGUGGAGAGGUGCCCAAACAGAGUUAUCUGGGUCCACAUCCAUGUGCCCAGCUAUUCUGUCCAAUCAUAGCACAAAGACAGGUUGCCUGUGUCCAGAGGGACACACAGCCUCAGGCACACCAGCCCUUACUUAUGAGCUUGAUGGUCAUCAGCAAAGACUCUCUCCCUUUAGGAGGGUUCUCCUUGGGACUUUUCAGUGUCUUGGCAGGAAAGAGAUGGCACACACGAAGCACUGAUUGAAGACAGUUUAAUGAAAGAAUAUUUACAGAGGUUGGGCAAGGGUAUGGAAAACAACAGGGAACAGUAAAACACCCAGGGAUGACAAGGCAAGGUAGCUCAUGUCUGUAAUCUCAGCACUUUGGGAGGCCAACACAGGCAGAUUGCUUGAGCCCAGGAGUUUGAAACCAGCCUGGCAACAUAAGCAAGAAUCUGUUUAUCUACAAAAAAUAAAAUAAUUAAAAAAAAAUUACCUGGCUGUGGUGUUGCACACCUAUAGUCCCAGCUACUCAGGAGUCUGAGGUGGGAGGAUCACUUGAGUCCAGGAGUUUGAGGUUACAAUGAGCUAGGAUCACACUACUGCACUCCAGCCUAGGCGACAAAGAGAGAUGCUGUCUCUAAAAAUAAAAAACAAAAACAAACUACCCAGGAACAGGCAGGCCACCAACUGUUACCAUCUCUUGCCUAGAGAGACAAGGAGAAGGAUCUAGAACCCAGGGAGAGCUAUAGCCAUGGAGAAGGAGUCACCCAAUGGAAGCCCUGGCCACAGCUAGAGGAUCAAAACUCCUGCACCCACUGCAGCUCAGUAGGAAGAGAGCUGGGGGAAUAAAUACCUUGACCUCUUGCCUCCUGCCCUCCAAUCUCCUGUCUGGGUCUUCCAUUGGCCAAAAACAACAGAAGCUAAAGGUCAGGGGACCCUGGGUGAUACGGUCCACAUAGGCAGCACACUGGAGCAAAAGAAGAAAAACCAGCACAAUUCAUCUUAUUACCACUUAGCAGCCAUUCACAAACUUUGCUUAGAUGGGAGAAAAAUAUUUUGUCCCCGGCACAGGGGAAACAUAAAAUCUCACCAGCAGCCAUAUUGUCUGGGGGUGAUAGCAAUUUAGUCCCACUCCCUCCUGCAACUUAAAUCAUAAUGUAGCCAGUCCCGGGUAAGUGGAACACUUCCUGUAAAGCACAACUGCUAGUGCCCCCUUCUGUGGCUGGUCAUGAGGCCCAGAGUGGUAACUGCAGUCUUGUUCUCCCACCACCCAUUCCAUAGCCCCUCUACUUUCUGGCAGUCCCUUAGCUGUUGGAGAAUUUUAUCUGGUGGAAUGACCCAAAUCUUCAUCCACAGAGGAUUCAAAUUCUUAGUGCCGUGUCUUCAAUGAGUUGCCACAGUAUCCACAGAUUCCUAAAGAACAUGAAGAGGCCUUGAAGAUCUCACCUGGAAGCUCUGUAAAAUUAUCAGAAAGAAUAGCAGGUGCUCUAGGGCAACACUACUCAAACUAUGGUCCACGGAUGGACAGCAUUGGCAUCUCUGGGGAGCUUGUUAGAAAUCUAAUUUCAUGCCCCCACCUCAGGCUUACAGAAUGAGGACAAGGGAUACAGGGAGUACCAAGUGCCCUAGCGAAUCCCAGGGUUCCAAAGCUAGUACUCCUUGCCCCUAUUGUGUAGCAGAAACCCCACUUUCCCUUGGAUAUUGGGGUUAACCAUCCUGACAGUGCAGUGAUCUCUUUCUCUGCCAAUAUUUCAACAUAAGGAGCCCCAGAUGGCACAAGAUCAUCUUCCAAUUUAACAGACCCAUAACUAUAUUCCCUGGUGGAAGCAGUUCCUCUUGGUCACUAGAGAUUUCCAAACCCACAAAACCUAAGGUUUCUUGGUUAAAGGCCAUGUUUGUGGGAUAUGCUGAGAUGAAUAUGCUGUGGUUUGAAUGUGUCCCCCAAAGUUCAUAUGUUGGAAACUUGAUUCCCAUUGCAACAGUGUUGAGAUCUGGGGCCCAAUGAGAGGUGAUUAGGCCAUGAGGGCGGAGUGAAUGGAUUAAUGCAGUUAUCUCAAGAGUGGGUUUGUUAUGAAGGGGGUGUUUGGUCCUCUUUUCUCUCUUGCCCAUGUGAUUCCUUCCACCAUGUUUAUGAUGCAACAAGAAGGUCCUCACCAGAUGCUGGUUCCUUGAUCUUGUAUUUUGCAGCCUCCAAAAUCGUGAGCCAAAUAAAUUUCUAUUCAUUAUAAAUUACCCAGUUUGUGUUGUUCUGUUUUAGCAGCACAAAAUGAAAGAAUGAAACACCACAAAUGGCAGGGAGGGGCAGGAAUGGCAAAUCCAUAUCUGGAAUAUGUGUCUAUUCCUACUGCCCUCUAUGAUGAAAGGGAUUCAGUGUAAUCAACCUGCUACCAAGUAAGCGGUUGGUCUGUCUCCUACCACCCAUCUCUGGGAAUGGUGCCAUAUCAGGGGCUUGGCAUUGGUCUCAUUCAUUGGAAGGCUACAUAUCCAGAAGUUAUGGAAACCAAUGGACCUUCACAAGGGAAAGCCCAUAGUGUUGAUAGCCUCUAUCCCUUCCACUAUGGUCACUCUGUUCAUGAUGUCAUUGAGCAAACACCAGAGUAGACAGAGGAAGAGGCUCACACCCCCAGGUUGGGUCAUCUUAUCCAGCUGAUCGUUGAGAGUCUUUUCUGCAGUGGAUGCCCUCUGAUAGGCAUUUAGAUGGCUCUUGAAUAUCUUGACACCCAGGGCCCCUUCAAAGAUGUCUUUUCACACAUAUCUGCCCAAGACUGCCUUGGACCCUCUCUUCCCAUCCUGUUCAGUUGGGUCAACACUGUGAUUCUCCUAUUGGAGAUGGUUAGGAAUUCCAUACAGCACUCCAUUUGCAACAGAUACUUCUGGCACUAUUGGAUCUGCUGAUCUUAAGGUCCAAAUGGCAGAGUAGCUUUCAUCACAGUCUGGAUAUACCUUUUCUAGAGCCCUGUAUUAUUCUGGGCCCCAUUCAAAACCAGCAAUCUUAUGAUGUAACCAGUAAAUCCAUCAGACACACACACAAAUGUUCUAUAUAUUGCCUCAAAAAUCCAGAGAUCCAUCAACUGCUGAGCCUCAUUCUUUAUGGUGGAAGACACAAGGUGAAGCAACAUGUUUCUCAUCUUAGUGGGGAUAUUCCAACAGGCCUCAGCCUGCUAGAACCCAAGAAGUUUCACCAAUGUGUCAGGUCACUGAACCUCCACAUGUGUUUUCUUCCCCUCUCUGGCAAGCAUGUGGCAGUACAGCACUUGCUAGUCCUCAUUCACCAGAUCCAAUUAGCAUAAUGUUAUCAAUGUAGCAGGCAAUCAUAAAGUUCUAUGGGCUGUCAAGAUGAUAAGGGUCUCAUAUCAUAUGACAGAAACCAGGAGAAUUGGCAGAUCCCUGAGGUAAUGCAUUUAGGGUGUGCCGCAGUCUUGUAACAGGUGAAGGUGAACUCCUUCUGAUUAUCUGUAUUGAUUGUGAUGCAAUGGAAACUAUUUCUAAUAUGACAGUUCUCAAACUUCAGUAUGCAUUAGAAUCACCGGGACGGCUCAUUCUAACACAGCUGGUAAGCCCCUAGAAUUUUUAAUUCAGGUGGUCUUCAGUGGAGUUCUAUAAAUUGUACAUCAAACACAUUCCAAGGUUAAGCUGCUAAUCCAGACCUACCUUUUGAGAAUUACUGUUCUAGUCACCAGGUACAAUACCAGGUGCACACCAGGUGUCAGGGGCUGAGCGGAUCUUCUCUAAUAAAGAUACCACAUCCAGAACAACUCCUGAAAUGGCAUUAAUUCCUGAUUGUGUUUAUGAAAAUCUGUAGGACCCACCUGGCUUUUGCAUAAGCCAGACAGGUGACUUAAAUAGUGAUGUGAUUAGAACCACCUGUCCUGCAUCUCUCAAGUCUUUGAAGGGGGCACAAUUCAAUUGCCCUGAAGAUGCAGAAUUGCUUUUGGUUUACUAUUUUGUCACAAAGAGGCAGUUCCAAGGGCUUCCAUGGGGCCACUUCUACAAUAAUAGCCCUCACUCCAUGGGUCCAAUUGUCACCCUUAAUACCAAUGACUUUAUUCAUCAGGAUUUAAGCGGCAAAUUCAAAAGGUUCAAUGAAGAGGGUUUAAUUUUGGGACAAUUUUCAGAGGGACAGGUAAGGUAAAGAGAAUCAGUAAGGGUUGAUGAUUAAUCCAGGGUUAACAAUGAUAAGAAGCCAUUACUGCCCCUUGCCUGGGGAGAAAACAGUGGCACCAGAAUCUAGCAAAGACUGUGGUUAUGUUGCCCACAGGAGCAGUAGGACAUAGUGGGACACAGCCACUGCCCAAACCAUGGCUCAGCAGGGAAAGAGUAAGGAGGAUGAUGCUCUCUGCUGCUUUAUUCCUCUAUAUUCCAACCUCUGCCUGCACCUCCACUGGCCAAUCCUAACCAGCAGCCAGAGAGCAUGAGCCUGGGUGAUGUUGUCCAACGAGGUCAGCCUCCAGGUGCGCAAACAGCAGGGCAGGGAAGGAUGGAGAAUAGAUCUGGAGGGACAAAGGGAGAUGAAUCUGCAGAGGGCCCUGGGUGUUCUUCCUGCCAACAGACCUCAGUCAGGACCCAACCAGUGCACCCAAACCAAUUUUCUAACUUUGACUAUUUAGGAGGGAGGAUUGGAAUACCAGUUUCUCACAUCCCUUGGACUUCUUAUGCAAUUUGGUCCACUCCCUCUCCACCCUUCUGCACCAAAGAGAGGGGCACCCUGGUUAUAUCCAACUAUACCCUUUUUCCAAGGAAAGGAGUGUCCACUUGCCUCAUCUACAUAACUAAGAAGGACCCCAGAAUUGAGAAUACUUCAGCUGACCAUACAGAGGCUGCUGGUCAACAUAUACCCCCAAAAAAGAUUACGCUGUCCCUUAGAAGCCACCUCCAUUUCACAGCAGUCAUCCCAUUAAGUGGGGAGAUAUGCGGUUUCACUUUGGAGAUAGGACAGCAGCUCAAGCUUUCCACGAAUAUAUAUUAAGGGAAGAGAGACCCCAGAAAGCUAAAUGACUUGAUGACAUUCAGGAGGCUGAAAGUUAGGCUACAAAAAUAGUGCUUCAGUGACCAACCUUGGUGCACACAGGUUUUUUUUUUUUUUCCUUUUUUCUUCUCUUAGAUUACCAAAUACAGCACUAAUAUCAUUUGAAAGAAGAGUUUGCUUGAGCUUAUAGCUACGAAACGGGGAACUUUGUGAGUACAAUGCCACACACAUUUAGAAGCAACUACUGUCUAACAGGGGCUUUGGACACAAAGAUGCAUAGAGCACAGCCCUGCCCUUGAGAAUCUUGCUUCCACAGGCCGAAAUCAAAGUCCACAUACCACUAGACCAUAAAUGGGGAGAGUGUUGUCCUAGAUGCUGAAAGCUCUAGAAUCCAGUUUCAGCUCUGCCACUCACUAGUUGUGUGAAAUGAACAAGUCUCUGCUAUUACAAAACAAAUAUCAGAGACCGUGUGGGGUCCAAAGAUGGAGGUAAAGAAGCAAUAUUGCCCUUAGGCUGGGGUAAGGUAUGGAGUGGGGGCUUCCUUGGAACUCAUGCCACAGAGGGCCCAGCUUAUAACAGAUACGCACAUACAAAUCAAUUUGUUCAAAUUCAUACAAGCACCUCUAUCCCUCGGGCCUCAGGUUGGUGCAGCUCAACCUGUACUGCAAAUAUGAGUAAUACUGUCCAAGCCAGGGGAGUUCUUCUUUACAUCCCUGCCCUGUGUCCCCAGAAUAAAAGAGACUGUGUGAAUGUCACGCAGGACUGUGGCAGGUCCAACCCUGGAGGUGGACAUGUCAGUGGAAGCGCUUAGGUAAGAGAAAGGAAUGAUUAUUCAACUUGUUACACACUUCCUCCUAGCCAGAAUGUAACUGAUUCUUCCCCAAACAAAUGACAUUUCCCAUUUAUAUCAAAUAUCCACUUUCUUGCUUUUUUUUUUUCUUUUUUGGCUUUUAUAUGAUUGAAAAUUGGUAAAAUAGGCAACUGAACUUAAUUAUCAUUGCCCUUGAAGAGAGUUGAUGGGAUGGCAAUAUUUGGAUGAGAAUUAAAGACAUAAAUUCAUCAACUACAUACCUACUUUAUAAAUUUUUAAAACCAAACUUUAUUUCCAAUCUGUGGUUCUGAAGGGACUCACAACAUGUGCCCUCGUUGGCACAUGGGUCUCAUAACCUAAACAAAGAGUGAUACUAAUUCUUUACUUUGGCAACUAAGUGGACAGUGAACACUAAGACUGCAAAGUAGUUUUGUUUUUAUAAAAUAUAUUUAAUAAGAUUUAAUUAAUUUUUUUGAGCUGGGUGCAGUGACACGGGCUUGUAAUUCCAGCUACUCAGAUGGCUGAGGCAGGAUGAUCCCUUGAGCCCAGGAGUUUGAGGCCAGCCUGGGCAGCAUAGUGAGACCCCAUAUCAAAAAACAAAACAAAAAC